rnacentral:rRNA from 1 species
AAACUUUGCAAUGUGCGCAAGCACGACAAGGUUAAUCCGAGUGUUUCCUGUUAAAGGAAUCUUUUGUUAGUUGUAAAACCACUAUCGAAUAAGGGGUGGGCAAGUUCUGGUGUCAGCCGCCGCGGUAAAACCAGCACCUCAAGUGGUCAGGAGGAUUAUUGGGCCUAAAGCAUCCGUAGCCUGUUCUAUAAGUUUCCGGUUAAAUCCAUUAGCUCAACUAAUGGGCCGCCGAAAAUACUGUAGAACUAGGGAGUGGGAGAGGUAGACGGUAUUCGGUAGGAAGGGGUAAAAUCCUUUGAUCUAUUGAGGACCACCUGUGGCGAAGGCGGUCUACCAGAACACGUUCGACGGUGAGGGAUGAAAGCUGGGGGAGCAAACCGGAUUAGAUACCCGGGUAGUCCCAGCUGUAAACGAUGCAGACUCGGUGAUGCGCUGGCUUGUGGCCAGUGCAGUGCCGCAGGGAAGCCGUUAAGUUUGCCGCCUGGGAAGUACGUACGCAAGUAUGAAACUUAAAGGAAUUGGCGGGGGAGCAC